rnacentral:rRNA from 1 species
AACGAACGCUGGCGGCAGGCCUAACACAUGCAAGUCGAGGGCCCCGCAAGGGGAGCGGCGGACGGGGGAGUAAUACGUGGGAAUUUUCCUCAAGGUACGGAACAACUCAGGGAAACUUGGGCUAAUACCGUAUGAUGCAGAGAUGCCAAAGAUUUAUCGCCGUGGGAUAAGCCCGCGUCAGAUUAGGUAGUUGGUGGGGUAACGGCCUACCAAGCCUGUGAUCUGUAGCUGGGCUGAGAGGACGAUCAGUCACAUUGGGACUGAGACACGGCCCAAGCUCCUACGGGAGGCAGAAGUGGGGAAACUUGCGCAAUGGACGAAAGUCUGACGCAGCCAUGCCGCGUGAAUGAUGAAGGUCUUAGGAUUGUAAAGUUCUUUAGCCUGUGACGAUGAUGACGGUAACAGGAGAAUAAGCCCCGGCUAACUUCGUGCCAGCAGCCGCCGCGGUAA